AAGUCGUAACAAGGUUUCCGUAGGUGAAUUGUGGAAGGAUCAUUAACAACGUUAAACCCCCCGUGCAUCUUUAGAGAGCUCUUGUAAGCCCAUUAUGACAGCAAUCCUGGUAAAUCAGUGGCGAAAGUAGUCUUUGAUUCAGGACCUCUGUCUGGUGAGAACCUAGCGGUAAGCGAGCAAUUGAGCCUUUUAUCGUCAGUCUGGAGUGGCCGGGAGAAUGAAAGUGUCGCUGGUUUCUAGGGUAAGGCUUCGCCAUCACUGGAGGCUCAACACGGGCCGGUGGACUGCAGGGUCCCCAUACCCCUUUAUGACCAAGUUAAAUAAGGCCUCUACCACAUAGCAAGUGCGCCGUGGUAGAGAACGUACAGCUGUUAACAAUGGAUAUCUUGGUUCUC
rnacentral:misc_RNA from 1 species